AGCCGAUGAAUUAGUCACAUGGCAUUUACGCUUGAGGUUGGCUCAGAAAAACCUUGUUGUGCACCUGGAUGAACGUGAACCAGUCCUGCAUCUGGUUCAACCUCUAUCUCCAGGUAUAGACCUCCUUGGCAACACUUCUGAAUUGUGGAAAUGGAACGAUGCUUCAGCCGAGCAACUUUGAAAUGAAAGGGAAUUUUCACCAGUUUGUGACUGAUGAAAGAAAAGCAAGAGUGCUCACAGCACUGCAGAAGCAGGUGAUUUGAGUCCCAAUCAGUUUGGUGCAGACAUAUCCAUCCCUCUAAUAGGUCUUAUUCAGUGUUCGGUCCUGCGGGAGACAAACAGUGAAAAAAGCCUUGUCCGAGACCUCCAGUCAUCUUCACGGCUCCUGUAUCCCUCAGCACUCUGUGGACAUCACUUAGUCCUGGUUUAUAUGAGCCGCCAAUUUAACUCAGGUUCACAUUCCAAAAUGUUUUUCCCCUGGUCAAGAAGGAACGGAGCAAAUGAAGGAAGAAAACAAGACAAACAAGAGUAAGGAAAUGAAAGAAGAGGUAAAGGGUUUGCUUUUGGCCGGUCUGUGAUUGAGAAAAACAGAAUUCAGCAAAUGUGAAGAGAAAUCCCAUAAUCAGAUUUUGCCAACAGCUGAGAUAAUUGCAGAUUUAAUGUGGGCCGAGAUGAAAGCCUGGGCUGAAGCCACUCUAAAUAGGGUCAAUAUUUCUAUGAAGGCAUAUUUAAUUUGACGCACAUGGAAAUAAAGCUGUGCGACAUAAUCAUUUAUUGUAUCAAUGUCAAUUUCAUUUUUAUUUGCCCUGGAUAUUGGCCUGCAUUCUGAUUUCAGUGUGAAUAGACCCUUCAUCAGCAAUUCAUUGCUUUUCCAGUGUGCCAAAGUCUAAGGCACUAUGUAAUGUAUCCUCCGCAGAUCCAAAUUGCACUGUGAAUUGUGGAGAAGGGACAUGAUGCCGUCGAUGUCUGUGGCAUGCCGCCUGCGGCCCUCCCUGAUGUUUUCUCUGGCACUUGCUAUGCUUUUAUAUGUCUCAUUUAGUUUUAAAAUGUAAUGCUGCGCUGGUCUAUGACCGUUUAACACUAUUACACAUUCAUAGUGUGGUCACUGCCUUGCCUAAUGUUAGUGAUGUUUGUGGACCGCCAUCAUUCCACCUUGUCCAUCUGUCCCCCCCUGCCGGUGCCCGGUUCCAAGUGGACCACACCGGAGACGCCGUAGAAGGCAUGGGGUGGGGGUAUCGUUGUACGAUUCAGAUCGGCCCUGCAACGGAAUUAUGAUCGGCAACACCCUUCUCUCUGAUGGAGACCGGAGUCUGCUCACCAAUUCACCACUGGCCAGCGUUCCUUGUAUGGGCAAUAUUGAUGGCUGCAUCCUCUCCUCCCUGGAUUUCUCUCUGAACCUGCUUGGACUCAUCCUCGCCAUGGUGGAGCAAAUCUCUGCAACCUUUGUCCAUUGUGCUGAGAAACACAGUUUCAUCGCAGUUGAAGUUCGCUCUUAUUAAUGACCGGUCUCUGGUAAACAAAACUUUAAAAUA